rnacentral:rRNA from 1 species
AUUGAACGCUGGCGGCAGGCCUAACACAUGCAAGUCGAACGAGUGGCGGACGGGUGCGUAAUGUCUGGGAAACUGCCUGAUGGAGGGGGAUAACUACUGGAAACGGUAGCUAAUACCGCCUACCAUCGGAUGUGCCCAGAUGGGAUUAGCUAGUAGGUGGGGUAAAGGAUCACCUAGGCGACGAUCCCUAGCUGGUCUGAGCGGAGGACCAGCCAGACUGGAAAUGAGACACGGUCCAGACUCCUACGGGAGGCAGCAGUGGGGAGUAUUGCACAAUGGGCGCAAGCGUGAUGCAGCCAUGCCGUGUGUAUGAAGAAGGCCGUCGGGUUGUAAAGUACUUUCAGCGGGGAGGCGUUACCCGGAGAAGGAGCACCGGCUAACUCCGUGCCAGGAGCCGCGGUAAAUC